UUUUAUCAGAGAGUUUGAUCCUGGCUCAGGAUGAACGCUGGCGGCGUGCUUAACACAUGCAAGUCGAACGGGAAACCUUUUAUUGAAGCUUCGGCGGAUUUAGAUUGUUUCUAGUGGCGGACGGGUGAGUAACGCGUGGGUAACCUGCCUUAUACAGGGGGAUAACAGUCAGAAAUGGCUGCUAAUACCGCAUAAGCGCACAGAGCUGCAUGGCUC
rnacentral:rRNA from 1 species